rnacentral:tRNA from 1 species
GCGGGUAUGGCGGAAUUGGCAGACGCGUUAGAUUCAGGUUCUAAUGGUCGCAAGGCUGUGCAGGUUCGACCCCUGUUACCCGCACCA